AUUGAACGCUGGCGGCAGGCCUAACACAUGCAAGUCGAGCGGAGCGGCGGACGGGUGAGUAAUGCCUAGGAAUCUGCCUGGUAGUGGGGGAUAACGUCCGGAAACGGGCGCUAAUGCCGCUAACUAUCGGAUGAACCUAGGCCGGAUUAGCUAGUUGGUGGGGUAAGGGCAUACCAAGGCGACGAUCCGUAACUGGUCUGAGAGGAUGAGCAGUCACACUGGAACUGAGACACGGUCCAGACUCCUACGGGAGGCAGCAGUGGGGAAUAUUGGACAAUGGGCGAAAGCCUGAUCCAGCCAUGCCGCGUGUGUGAAGAAGGUCUUCGGAUUGUAAAGCACUUUAAGUUGGGAGGCGUUACUAACAGAAGAAGCACCGGCUAACUUCGUGCCAGCAGCCGCGGUAAUAC
rnacentral:rRNA from 1 species